UAGGCAAAAAUCAGUUUCAAUAU
rnacentral:miRNA from 2 species